rnacentral:rRNA from 1 species
AUGAAGAGUGGGUGUUCUUUCACGUGGCAGAGCAUUUGUGCAGAGAUUAACACUUUCAAAAGAGGAGCCAUUUGGAGGAUCGGAGAUGGCUCUCAAGUUAACAUUUGGUCUGACCCGUGGAUUGCCGAGAGUGCAGAUGGACGCGUAGUUACCCCGAGAGGAGCAAACCUGCUGUCAAAGGUUUCUGACCUGAUUGAUCCGGUGACAGGAGUUUGGGAUCAAGAGCUUGUUAUGGAUACAUUUUGGCAGGUCGAUGCGGGGAGAACUCUAGCGAUCCCGCUUGCGCCGAAGGGUAUGAUGGAGGAUUUUGUGGCAUGGAGAUUCACAAAGAACAACAUGUUCACAGUCAGAUCGGCGUAUCAUGCUGAGUGGGAUCACCAGUUCGGACGAUGGUUUGCGAGAACUGAAGGUCAACAAUCACAACAAUAUCUAGUAUGGGCGAAACUGUGGGACUCCUCAUUGCCGAGCAAAAUCAAGAUACACGCAUGGAAAGUGUUGCAUGGGUUCAUACCAUGUUUCGGAGUCCUGGCAAAUCGACACAUUGCUAUGCCCAGGAACUGUCCAAUGUGUGCAGGAGGAUGUGAGGAUAUCAAGCAUGUGCUGUUUACUUGCCCAAGAGCGGCUGAGAUAUGGAGGUGUCUAAAGCUAGAUGGAUUUGUGGAGGAGGCGAGUAAUGUGGACAGAGCUGGCUCAUUGGUUCUGGACUAUAUCUUAUGUGCGCCGACGAGAGGAAGUCUGCUUCUAGAUGUGAGUGCAUAG